GCAGGGUAGCCACCCAGUAAUCAGAACAAGUUAGAAUGUGGGCAACUCAGCAGUCGUUGCGCAGGCACUUUGUUGACUCUAGAUAACCUUGCGCCGAUCACACGCCCCCGUGACGGCGCAUUCGGAUGUCUGCCCUAUCAACUUUUGAUGGUACUUUCUGCGCCUACCAUGGUGACCACAGGUAACGGGGAAUCAGAAUUCAAUUCCAGAGCCUGAGAAACGGCUACCGCAUCCAAGGAAGGCAGCAGGCGCUCAAAUUACCCACUCCCGACGUGGGGAGGUAGUGAC